UUUGGAACAAUAAUUCCAUUAUUCCUCAUUUGGGAAUAAUGGAAUGGGAUGAAUAAAGUAUUCUGAUUCUGAUUUGAUGUUUACGAGCUGCCGUUUUUGACGUUCACUAUACACAGUGGUAUAAUGAACAUGAAAAGAUUCACAGAAUUAACAUGUGUGUGAUUUUUUUUAUACAUAUGAAGCAAAUAAGAGCUGCAGGCCUGUUUUUUUUUUUUUCAGGUUUUUACACAUGUAGGUCUUUUUUGUACAUGUGCAGAACAAGCUAGUCCGUAUCGUGACUAACGUACAGGAAAGGCUAACAGGGGGCAUUAUCACACAAAUGUAAGUCCUGUCUGCUAAACAGUUCACGUAAACUUAAAGUCACACGCUAAGUUUGUUAUACAAAUAUAACAUAGAGCGUUUAUCUGAGGUGUGUAUUUUUUGUCUCCCUUUUACCCGAGAGAAAAGCCAAACAGCAGGCCUCCUGGUGAGUUUGACUAUGUCACUGCAUUUCAUCAGAAUACCCCAGACUCACCAUCAGUCUGAACCAGUUCAAAUAGCUAAACUCAGUCUCUCAGCAGCCGGCGCAGAGGCACGAGGCCUAAUAAGCACAUGCUAAAUGUGAUAAGCUGCUUUGUAGCUGCAUUUUGCCAGUUUUUUUUUUUUCACCAUUCUUUUCUUCCACCCUGGUGAUUUACUCACUCCAGGCGAUGUGUGCUUUUUGUUCGACGUAGAUUUGUACACACCACAGAGCCGUGCAAAUAGAUUUCUGUCUCAAUUGGUCCCUCGGUGUGACACAGUGGAAAGAUACUUGGACAGAACGCAGGGCGAAAAGGGAUUUUUAUGUUACAAAUAUUCAAGUGCUAAAUCACAGUGUGUGCUUUGAGGAGGCUGAGUUUAGUAUUUUUAAGAGGCCCCCGUUGGAAACUGUGACUGGAGGCUGAAUCCAAAACUCACUGCAGCUCAGCACCACUCAUGAAAAUUCAUUCACAAGUACCUGUGCAGAGGUCAAACUGAAGUUUGGGGAGUGUUGCCAAAACAUCUCCCACACAUGAAAGCCAUUUUUUGUCAUGGGUGAGAGAGAUAGGUGCCAUUUGGUUUGAGUUAUAAAAGCACACAUAAAUGGAAA
ensembl:lncRNA